rnacentral:rRNA from 1 species
UACGUAGGUGGCAAGCGUUGUCCGGAUUUACUGGGCGUAAAGAGCGCGCAGGCGGUCGUUCAAGUCGCGUGUGAAAGCCCCCGGCUCAACUGGGGAGGGUCACGCGAUACUGAUCGACUCGAAGGCAGGAGAGGGUAGUGGAAUUCCCGGUGUAGUGGUGAAAUGCGUAGAUAUCAAGAGGAACACCUGAGGUGAAGACGGGUUGCUGGGCCGACACUGACGCUGACAGCGCGAAAGCCAGGGGAGCAAACGGG